UUUCUGUGGCAACUUUCUUAGGACACCUUUGGAUUCAAUGUGAAGAAAUUUGUAUUCUGAGCAAU
rfam:Gallus gallus breed Red Jungle fowl, inbred line TCD001 Contig896.1, whole genome shotgun sequence. [11-NOV-2016]